rnacentral:ncRNA from 2 species
AUAACGGUUAAGAAAACCACUCGUAUAACGUUGGAAAUAUGGUCCAAAAGUAUCUACCAAACUACCGUAAAUAGUUUGACUACGAGGGGAAGGAUUGGAUAA